CGGCAGGGUGUGCUGCCGCCCCAGCGAAGGGACGCGCGAGAAAAUCCCCGGAGCUGCCCCGGAGCAGCCUCACGCGAGCUCGGCUGCAGCUCCACGCCCGCGUCGCGCUCCCCGAACGCCGCGCUCGAAGCUCACCGCCCCGCGCCGCGUCCCCCGGCUGCGCAGCGUCCCGUGGCCACCGGAGCCUGGCGAGAAGCCGUGCCAAAGCCCUCUGCCCUCAGGAAGAGCCUCCCACCACCGGGCUUUAAGCUCCCAGCCAUCCCGAGCCAUUCCACGAUCCUAAGGUUUAUCACUCGCUCUGUCUGGGCAGCGCCGCCCGGGUGUCUGAUUUCUCCCCUCCCCUUCGAUCUCAGCAGCGUGAGGUGCAGCUGCUCUGCGGGGAUGGGCUUGGAGGCUCGGGGGGGUCUGGCCGGAGGGCUGUGCUGCCAGGCACUGUGAGUAGUGAAUAGCGGCAGAGAAUGUGGGAACACAGAGCUGUCUGCCUCCUCCAAUCGGUUUUCCGCUUAUUUUCCAGAAAGUUCCACACUACUGGGGGCUGCAGCAGCGGUGAGGCUGGGUGUUCAUCAGUAGGGCCCUCCCACUCCCAUCAAUGUCCUUCUCUGUCGCCGAGCGACUUGUCCGAGUCCCCUGGAGAGCACCAUCACCUCCCUGGGUCAGCCGUCCAUCCACACUUCCCCCGCUCUUUUCUUGCACAAACAAAACAGCCGAGGUAACCUUUGAGAGCAUUUUCUUAACAACAGCAGUAACAGAGCAAACUAUGAGGAUUCCCACCGCCAGCAACAUCAGGAGACGAAGGCCCUCCUUGACGAGGCCACUCAGCCACCCCGCGACCUUGAGCUAAUAACAGAAUAUCUAUGGCAGUGCGAUUCUGUAGCAAGGCAUGCCGUAAGCUGUUCUGGUCAAGCAGAAGCUGUUUGAGAAAGGAGAGUGCAACCCUUGCAGCAAGCGAGAAAAGCUCCGUGGGAUGCUCACAUUCAGGGGUUAGCAGAGCACGCUUCAUGCGAUCAGAGCGGUUAGAGAGUAAUGUUUCAAAGCUGCUCAAAGGUAGGAGCAAACAGAGUUGAUUUUCCUAAGGAACGGGGUCCACCUGUCUCCUGGCUGGGGAUGCCCUGCCACGCUCUGUCUCCACAGACCAAAAAGAUGUCCGGAGGCAAUGCCUUCGCAGAGCCAUUGCACCAUAUAGUCGAGUUGUUACCAUUUGCAGCUGCGCCAUAGGCAGCCAAACCUGUCUUCUUGAUGUAUUGGUGCCACAGUAAUCACAAGCAUCCCGUAAGUAAAUUUGCCACGGCUAGAUACAGUAGUGCAAGAGGUCCAAUUCAGCCCUUUAUAAGGAUUUAGGCCCUGCUGGGUAUUACUGAAUACAAAGCAGGUCUGGGUCCAAUUCUGUGACGUGUUCCCUAUCGCCUGCGACCCCAUAAGUUACGGUUCCUGGGGAUCCCAAGGCAGCGAGACAUUUCAUCCAGCAAUCAGUUCAGUGGAGCAUCCCAGACUGUGUAGAAGCCGCUGUAGAGCCGGGGCAGAGAGCUGUUGGCAUCGAUGAGGCACAGCGGGGUCUGCUGAGGCCCCCCCCCCCCCCCAACAGGCUGCCCCACGCCAGCUUCUGCAGCUCGAUGGGCAUCACGGUGUAGGGCAGUGCUUCUCAGUGUAGCCCUGGAAGCCCUGCACUGCCAUGGAGAGCACCGGGUGGAGGCGGCUGUGGCGCGGUCCGGGCUCGGGCCAGGGGAGGCUGCGGGUGGCCGUACAGCGGGGGCUCGUAUGGCCUUCAAGGUGUUGGCAGCAGCACGCCACACCGGUCCCAGAGGCUUCAGCAACUCCUCGUCCUUCCCCCCAGAUAUCACACAGUCCCACGUAUGAUCUCCUAUAUCACGCCAUUCUGAAGCACCGAACAUCAGUGCCACCUCCAUGAGGUAUUCAAGUCAUCGAGCCCAUUUUACCAGCUCCGACGGGCCUUUAGGAGACACUUGCUCCCCUUUCUUAGAGAGGAUAGUUAGGAGCGGUUUCUCUGUAGCUUCCCACUCUAUCGUGGGGGCAGAGGGCAGGGAGGGACCCCGCUUCCAGCUACCGUGACACUUACAGCACUGUUGCUUGUCCGGUGCCAUCCAUCUGCGACCGCUGCCUCGUCUCCCUCUUACUCCAAGGUCCUUUUCUGAUCGUUCUUACUCCAAAGUCCCCGUUUGGGCACCACUUGUCACCGAGUGACUGUUCAGAGUCCUCUGGAGAGCAAUAUUCAGCCAAGGCGCGGCGUGGACGAGGCCACACACCGUUGUGGUUUCUAGCAGCCAAGCCGUGUAAUAACUGCACCCAGCCGCUUAUAUAGAGCGGUACAAAUAACAUGCUAAGUACACAAGGCACGCUUCUCAUGACUGGCAGUUGCUUGCAGCUUGUCUCACGGCACCCGGCACAGCGGUCUCCAUCACAGCUCCGCAUUCCUUUUGCCUACUCCCGUCGUUGUUCUGUGUGAGACAGUGAUCCAUAGCAGCUGUUUUGCUUGCAGUGACCCAGGGGGAGAUAAACAUCACCUCCCUGGGUCAGCUGUCCAUCCACACUUCCCCAGUCCAGGAGCAGAGAAGAGGAGGUUCCGUGACCUCAGUCCCUCCAGCAGAGCCGCCCCAGGCGCUGCAGCAGCUCGGUGGCCCUGUGCUGCACUCUCCCCAGUGUGUCCCGGGCUCUCCUGUGUGGGGGGCCCAGAGCUGCACCCAGUGCUGUCUGUGCAGCCGCACCAUUGCUGAGCAGAGGGCAGAUCCCACUCGUUCCACUGCUGGCAGUGCCAUCCCAGCGCAGCCCGGACACCCUCAGCCUUUGCCCAAAGGGCACAACUGCUCCCGUUCCCCUCAGAGCACAGCCGCACUCAGGGCCCAUCCGCAAAGCUGCUCCCAGCUGUGCCCCAGCAGCCCUGGGUCCAGAGAGGAGGAGGAGUGGGGCCGUCGGAUGGGGCUGUGAUGUACAGGGAACAAUGAGGAUGCACAAGAGCUCUCCUGUAUGCAGUGGAAACAAACAGCUCCUUCUCUCCAUGCCAGCUCUGCACCUCCUCCUGUGACACUCCACAUGUGGGGCUCUGGCAGCUCUCCCUCAGCUCUUCUUCCUCAGCACAGCCCCGAGCAGGGGUGGGGGUGAUGGGGGCCGGGACACACAGCCUGGUGAGGAGGGGGUGAUCGGGGGCUGCAGGGCAUGGCGCUGGGGGAGCUGCUGCCCGUGGUGCAGAGCUGAGGCUCUCUGCCUCCCUGCGCCCUCAGUUUUGUUCUCUGCAGUGCCCGGAACGCGGUGCGUUUACAGGAACGGGUUUCUGUGGAGCCUUCGGCCUCACCCUGCGUGUCUGUUGGUGAUAGCGUGCUCUCUUGGCUCGGGGGCUCCCACAGGGCAGCACGUGGCCACUUUUUUGGAGAGGAUCCAACCUGGCCCUCCCCUGGCGCAACCUGAGGCCACAGGCAGACGGAAUGGAUGUAUCGCUUUGGUAUCCCCUUCCGAGAGGAGCCCUCCCCAACUCCUCUGGGAGAUCUGUGCCCCCCGGCUCCGUUUGCUGAUGGCUGCGCAGUUUCUGCACUCGCCCAGCAGUGGCUCAGCACAGCGGCUCCUGCAGCACUUUGCACGGGGCUGUUUGUGGAGCAGCGCUAUCUGCGAUCCCAGCACUGCCCUCCUCCUGACGCUGCCUAUAAGAGUGCUGCUGAGCUGCACAGCGGUUCCAGCCCCGGCACUGCUGUGCAGGAGGAGAGCAGGAACAGCACGAGUGCAGCAGGCAGACCUGGGGACACAGCGCAGCGCUGUUUGCAACAGUGACCCACCAGGGUGGGUUUGGGGACCCUCGAAGAAUGCGUGAAAAAGAAACUCCUCAGCCUCAAAGUGCUGCUGUCAACAAGAAGGAAAGGGGAAGUGUCCCGUGAGUGUCUGUUGGGCUCCUGAAGGGAUAAUUACAGACUGCAAACCGCCUCCAUUGCUGUGGAAGGGAGAUUAGAAUGAGACAGCCGCUAUCCCGUCUCGAAUGCAGAUCUUGGUGGGCCAUAACGUGCCUGCCCAGCAAGGAUUUAUUGUACCAAUCUAUAACAUAAUCUGGUAUGACAUAUUAGUAAACAGCCCUUUAAAGAUAACCCCACUACCGCCAAUCGGUGCGUUGGGAAGGAUUGCCAAGCACUUACUGCUACACAGAAAUAAAACAGAGACCUCAGUCUGCAUCCCGGCUGUGUGCGUGUUGGAUGAUGCUCGGCAAGAGGGAUAGCUCCCCCAGAGCAGCAUCACCCCCUCCUCACCAGGCUGUGUCCCGGCCCCCAUCACCCCCACCACUGCUCGGUGCUGUGCUGGGGAAGAGGAGCUGUGGGAGCGCUGCUCCGGUGCUGGCACAGCAGGGCCUGUGCUGGGGCACGACUGGGAGCAGCUCUGCAGAUGGGCCCUGAGUGCUGCUGGGCUCCGAGGGGACACGAAGUGGCUGUGGCCCUCCACCUGUGUCCGGGCUGCGCUGGGAUGGCACUGCCAGCAGUGGGACGAGUGGGAUCUGCCCUCUGCUCAGCAAUGGUGCGGCUGCACAGACAGCACUGCAGGCAGCUCUGGGCCCCCCGCACAGGAGAGCCCGGGACACACUGGGGAGAGUGCAGCACAGGGCCACCGAGCUGCUGCAGCGCCUGGGGCAGCUCUGCUGGGAGGAGAGUUGGGCAGGCUCAGAGGGAUCCACUGUGACCACUGAGCCCUGCAGGAGCUGUGAGGGGACGGAGCCGUGCUGCGCUCAGCGGUGCCGGGGCAGCACCCGGCGCUGGGCUCCAACUGCAGCCCAGGAGCUCCCGGCACACACACAGCCCUGCACGGGGACGGCGGCUGCGGGCUCUCCUCCUUGGGCAUCUCCCACCCCACUCUGCUCUGGGGUGGCCCUGAUGGGGUGGGGGCACCAGAGGGACCCCGAGGAGCCCCAUCCUCAGCAACACUGCGGGUCUGACAUCCCUGCCCACUCA
ensembl:lncRNA